UAAUUUUGUUUCACUUCCGUCUUCCACCACCUAUCGUGCCCUCCUCCCUUUUUUCCCAAUUCCAAAAUACCGAUCCUCCUCCAGUCCACAGAUCCUCCUCCAGUCCACCGAUCCACCUUCGAUCCUCCGCCCAAUUUAAGAAACAAGUGACAUUGAAAUCAAUUUGGCUUACCAUAGCUUCCUUUCCCGAUUAGCAGAUUUUGUAGAUGAUAAUUUGUGUCCUUAUCUCAAAAGAUUGUUAUGAUUAUUGAUUCCUCUGAAAAAGAAGUGAACUACCAAAAUAUUGGAGGGAAAGAAAAUUUUGAUUAAAUUAUGGUAAUGUUAUGCUAAUAUUGUUUAUCUACUAGUAGGAAAAUAAUGGGAUUGAGAAAUAGAGAUGCUUCUAUUCAUGAAUUUGGAUUGGAUUUAUGCAGUUUGAAUUGGAAAAUAAUUGUUCUUAGCAGAUGAAAGAUCAUAGAAAUAUUUGUUUUUUGAUUAAAACUGAUUUAUUUUUUAUAGAGCAUGUAAUUUGCAUUUAAUUGAAGCCUAGAUGAAAUUGAUUUAUUUUUUAUGUACCACCUUUUAUUUUAAAAAACGGGC